rnacentral:rRNA from 1 species
GACGAACGCUGGCGGCGUGCUUAACACAUGCAAGUCGAACGGAAAGGCCCUGCUUUUGUGGGGUGCUCGAGUGGCGAACGGGUGAGUAACACGUGAGUAACCUGCCCUUGACUUUGGGAUAACUUCAGGAAACUGGGGCUAAUACCGGAUAGGAGCUCCUGCUGCAUGGUGGGGGUUGGAAAGUUUCGGCGGUUGGGGAUGGACUCGCGGCUUAUCAGCUUGUUGGUGGGGUAGUGGCUUACCAAGGCUUUGACGGGUAGCCGGCCUGAGAGGGUGACCGGCCACAAUGGGACUGAGAGACGGCCCAGAAUCCUACGGGAGGCAGCAGUGGGGAAUAUUGCACAAUGGGCGGAAGCCUGAUGCAGCAACGCCGCGUGCGGGAUGACGGCCUUCGGGUUGUAAACCGCUUUCGCCGGUGACGAAGCGUGAGUGACGGUAAUGGGUAAAGAAGCACCGGCUAACUACGUG